AUUGAACGCUGGCGGCAGGCUUAACACAUGCAAGUCGAGCGGGGUUUUCGGACCUAGCGGCGGACGGGUGAGUAAUGCGUAGGAAGCUACCCGAUAGAGGGGGAUACCAGUUGGAAACGACUGUUAAUACCGCAUAAUGUCUACGGACCAAAGUGUGGGACCUUCGGGCCACAUGCUAUCGGAUGCGCCUACGUGGGAUUAGCUAGUUGGUGAGGUAAUGGCUCACCAAGGCGACGAUCCCUAGCUGGUUUGAGAGGAUGAUCAGCCACACUGGAACUGAGACACGGUCCAGACUCCUACGGGAGGCAGCAGUGGGGAAUAUUGGACAAUGGGCGAAAGCCUGAUCCAGCCAUGCCGCGUGUGUGAAGAAGGCCUUCGGGUUGUAAAGCGCUUUCAGUAGGGAGGAAGCGUUGUGUGUUAAUAGUACACAGCGUUGACGUUACCUACAGAAGAAGCACCGGCUAACUCUGUGCCAGCAGCCGCGGUAACAC
rnacentral:rRNA from 1 species